ACGCGAAACCGCCGCAAGGCGGUCUGCCCGGUGUGGUUGCCGGGUACUGAUGAGCAGCCGGGG
rnacentral:hammerhead_ribozyme from 1 species